rnacentral:rRNA from 1 species
AACGUACGCUGGCGGCACGCCUAACACAUGCAAGUCGAACGAAGUAGCAAUACUUAGUGGCAGACGGGUGAGUAACAUGUGGGUAUCUGCCCUUUGGCCUGGAAUAACACGAGGAAACUUGUGCUAAUACCGGAUAAGUCUUUACGGAGAAAGCUUUAUGCACCAUUGGAUGAGCCCGCACUUGAUUAGUUUGUUGGUGGGGUAAUGGCCUACCAAGACUGCGAUCAAUAGCUGAUUUGAGAGGAUGAUCAGCCACAUUGGGACUGAGACACGGCCCAAACUCCUACGGGAGGCAGCAGUGGGGAAUCUUGCACAAUGGAGGAAACUCUGAUGCAGCGAUGCCGCGUGAGUGAAGAAGGCCCUUGGGUUGUAAAGCUCUUUCGUCGGGGAAGAAAAUGACUGUACCCGAAUAAGAAGGUCCGGCUAACUUCGCGCCAGCAGCCGCGGUAAUACGAAGGGACCUAGCGUAGUUCGGAAUUACUGGGCUUAAAGAGUUCGUAGGUGGUUGAAAAAGUUAGUGGUGAAAUCCCAGAGCUUAACUCUGGAACUGCCAUUAAAACUUUUCAGCUAGAGUAUGAUAGAGGAAAGCAGAAUUUCUAGUGUAGAGGUGAAAUUCGUAGAUAUUAGAAAGAAUACCAAUUGCGAAGGCAGCUUUCUGGAUCAUUACUGACACUGAGGAACGAAAGCAUGGGUAGCGAAGAGGAUUAGAUACCCUCGUAGUCCAUGCCGUAAACGAUGUGUGUUAGACGUUGGAAAUUUAUUUUCAGUGUCGCAGCGAAAGCGAUAAACACGCCGCCUGGGGAGUACGACCGCAAGGUUAAAACUCAAAUGAAUUGACGGGGACCCGCACAAGUAGUGGAGCAUGUGGUUUAAUUCGAAGAUACGCGCAGAACCUUACCAACACUUGACAUGUUCGUCGCGACUCUAAGAGAUUAGAGUUUUCGGUUCGGCCGGACGAAACACAGGUGCUGCAUGGCUGUCGUCAGCUCGUGUCGUGAGAUGUUGGGUUAAGUCCCGCAACGAGCGCAACCCUCACUUUUAGUUGCCAUCAUUAAGUUGGGCACUCUGAAAGAACUGCCAGUGAUAAGCUGGAGGAAGGUGGGGAUGACGUCAAGUCCUCAUGGCCCUUACGUGUUGGGCUACACACGUGCUACAAUGGUAUCUACAACAGGAAGCAAGACUGCGAGGUCAAGCAAAUCCUUAAAAGAUACCUCAGUUCGGAUUGCACUCUGCAACUCGAGUGCAUGAAGCUGGAAUUACUAGUAAUCGUGGAUCAGCGUGCCACGGUGAAUGCGUUCCCGGGUCU